GAUGAACGCUGGCGGCGUGCCUAAUACAUGCAAGUCGAGCGAACGGACGAGAGGCUUGCUUCUCUGAUGUUAGCGGCGGACGGGUGAGUAACACGUGGAUAACCUACCUAUGAGACUGGGAUAACUUCGGGAAACCGGAGCUAAUACCGGAUAAUAUUUUGAACCGCAUGGUUCAAAAGUGAAAGACGGUCUUGCUGUCACUUAUAGAUGGAUCCGCGCUGCAUUAGCUAGUUGGUAAGGUAACGGCUUACCAAGGCAACGAUGCAUAGCCGACCUGGGAGGGUGAUCGGCCACACUGGAACUGAGACACGGUCCAGACUCCUACGGGAGGCAGCAGUAGGGAAUCUUCCGCAAUGGGCGAAAGCCUGACGGAGCAACGCCGCGUGAGUGAUGAAGGUCUUCGGAUCGUAAAACUCUGUUAUUAGGGAAGAACAUAUGUGUAAGUAACUGUGCACAUCUUGACGGUACCUAAUCAGAAAGCCACGGCUAACUACGUG
rnacentral:rRNA from 1 species